AACGAACGCUGGCGGCAGGCUUAACACAUGCAUGUCGAACGCCCCGCAAGGGGAGUGGCAGACGGGUGAGUAACGCGUGGGAACAUACCCUUUCCUGCGGAAUAGCUCCGGGAAACUGGAAUUAAUACCGCAUACGCCCUACGGGGGAAAGAUUUAUCGGGGAAGGAUUGGCCCGCGUUGGAUUAGCUAGUUGGUGGGGUAAGGGCCUACCAAGGCGACGAUCCGUAGCUGGUCUGAGAGGACGAUCAGCCACACUGGGACUGAGACACGGCCCAGACUCCUACGGGAGGCAGCAGUGGGGAAUCUUGGACAAUGGGCGCAAGCCUGAUCCAGCCAUGCCGCGUGAGUGACGAAGGCCUUAGGGUUGUAAAACUCUUUCGCCGAGGACGAUAAUGACGGUACUCGGAGAAGAAGCUCCGGCUAACUUCGUGCCAGCCGCCGCGGUAAGAC
rnacentral:rRNA from 1 species